UACGUAGGGGGCAAGCGUUGUCCGGAAUCAUUGGGCGUAAAGCGCGUGUAGGCGGCCCGAUAAGUCCGCUGUGAAAGUCCAGGGCUCAACCCUGGGAUGCCGGUGGAUACUGUCGGGCUCGAGUCCGGAAGAGGCGAGUGGAAUUCCUGGUGUAGCGGUGAAAUGCGCAGAUAUCAGGAGGAACACCAAUGGCGAAGGCAGCUCGCUGGGACGUGACUGACGCUGAGACGCGAAAGCGUGGGGAGCAACAGG
rnacentral:rRNA from 1 species